rnacentral:lncRNA from 1 species
GGUACCCUAUUGCCAGCUAUUUUGAGGAUUUUAGGCACACUUUAUUUGGCUCUAUGGAGAAUUUGAUUAUGCUCAUUAGUUUGUAGGUGAAAUGAAGAACCCUACAGUAAAUCAACUGCCAGAAGCAGAUUCUUUGCCUGAUGGUUUGUUGAUAGCUUUGCAAAACCUCUAACCUCUUCGCCCCAACACCAGAUCAAGAAAGUCAAGUCACAUAUUAUAAAGAGGGUAGUUUCAAUUCAAAUUGCUAAGCAGUUUGAGGCCUUUGGUUUUAUGGACAACUUCGCUUAAAGUGUAGAUAAAUUGUGGAGAAGAAAGGGUUAGGAGCAAGAAUAUAGUGGGAUGCGACGGAAAACGAUGAGAGUCUGAGUACGUGUCCCUACGGAGAGAGAUGAGAGUCUGAGUAUGGGUUCAAUCACUUGCUUCUCGAAGAACCGAUAUGCAUGGCAUCCACUCCCGAACCUUCUAGAUCUAGUAAUUUUUCAUCAAUGAAGAAGAUCGUUGGUACUCAGACCGAAAUCGAUAUCUCUGGAGGUUCUUUCACAGUGUCUCGACCGAAAUCGAUAUCUCUGGAGGUCUUUCACAGUGUCUCACGCCCGGAACGUCUGGUAAAUCUACGAUUUUUAUGCUUUAGGUUACUGAAAUGUGGAUCUGGUGGUAAGUAUUGUGAAUAUUGGAGAUGAGUUCAGAGUUAUCUUUUUGUUUUAUUUUCUAAUUUAUUGUUAUUUUUGUAGGUAACUGGUAUCAUCCUUUUGGAAAAAUCACAACCUCCGCUUCCAUUUAUAUAUUCCAUAUGUGUGUUUGAUGUUGAAUCUAAAAGAUGGUUUAAGGGUUUGGAUUUAAUUUGAAUUGUAUGAUGUAUUCAUCUACUACAAAUCCACUAGUAGGAUCCUCUAUAGAUGUGGCAAAAUGGGCGGGUUGGAUAACGGGUUAAACGGGUCAACAGGGGUGGGUUCUAGAUGACUGUGAUAAAUUGUGUGCAUUUGUUUUAAAAUUAUUUGUAAAUAAUGAAUUAGUUACUUGUGAUUACAUUAACAACAUCAUUACAAUAAUUAUGUUUCAGCUAAUUUACAUAGGUAGCAACUGGAGAUGGAAUAGCCAUGGCACCGAAUUGUGAUUAUUUCUUCUAAAAUUGUUUGCUUAUUAAACUUUCCAAAAACUAAUGAAAAAAGACAGUGAUUAAUAUGACAUACAUUCUCUUACAGGCUCUAAAAGCGUUAUAAGCAUUGUAUAUAAUAAUGAUGAAAAAGGUUUGUAUUGCAGAUGUAGCGUGAAUAUAUUCUUUUCAAUCAUGGAUGAAUAUAGACAGGAAUAUCUAAGGGUUGCUUGGUCUGUCUAGUGAUGGCGAUGGGUGCAAAGUGCAAACUCGAUGAGUGUCUGGAACUAUGGUAGUAAGCUCAAGUAUGAAAUAGAAGUCAAGAAAAAGAUGUCUAUAGAUGUAUUGUGUGGGUUAGGCUCCAAUCUAGGAACUUGAGCGCUCCUGGCUUUGGAUUGUUUUACGAUGAACUGGUGAAAGGUGUGCCUGAAAUAUUUGGACACUUUCUGACUACUCUCCCAACUGUUCAUUCAAUGAUUAUUUUUGUAUGCAUAAAGUACACCCAUGUUCCCGUUUUGCCUCAGAAUAAAAGAUUUUUGUUCAAGCGAGUCUGCUUCAAAAGUUACCACAUAUUCCAUUGCAUUGUCAGGUAUGGUUACAAACACGUGCGUAACGAAAACCACAAGCUAUUCCAGCGACUGUUGCUUGCAAGCCUUGAAAGGUUCAAUUGUCGUGAAGCUCUAGAAAUAUUAUGAGAGGGUGACAUGGAUGAUGAUGAUUCUGAUUUUGAAGAUGACUCAUCAAGAGUAGUUGUUGGUCCAGAUGGCAGUGUCUAUUUUGGUGUCAACGAAACCGGCAACAUCAUCAUAACAGUUUCAGAAGCAAGCACCUCACAAGAUCCCGAGAAGGAUGUUCCUGCCACCUCAGAUCCCUAGCAUAGUCUUGAGAGUGAGGUUGCUUUUCUGCACAAGGCUAAGGAAUUAGGGGUUUUUUUGUUGUUUAAUAGAUGGAUGAUUUUCUUUCUGGAUGAAAGUGUAGGUGGCUGUGUUACAGAUUGUUUGUUAGUUGUUUAAUUGGUACUUCAAUGGUAUUUAUCUUGCUGCCUUCUAUGCCAAGUCUGUAUUUAACCGCUUCCUAUCAUUCUAUGCUUGGAUUUAACAAUGUUUUUGUAAUAUUCAAAUGAUUUUUUGUCACUUUGUAGUUUCAAUCAUGCUUUAAGAUGUUUUGUAUACUUAACCGUAUCCUGACGUUCACUGUAACAC